rnacentral:rRNA from 1 species
UACGUAGGGCGCAAGCGUUGUCCGGAAUUAUUGGGCGUAAAGAGCUCGUAGGCGGUUUGUCGCGUCUGCUGUGAAAACUUAAGGCUCAACCUUGGGCUUGCAGUGGGUACGGGCAGACUAGAGUGCGGUAGGGGUGACUGGAAUUCCUGGUGUAGCGGUGGAAUGCGCAGAUAUCAGGAGGAACACCGAUGGCGAAGGCAGGUCACUGGGCCGCAACUGACGCUGAGGAGCGAAAGCAUGGGGAGCGAACAGG